AACUCUCAAACAAGAUGCUUUGUUGUUAUCUUUGUUUGGAUUUGGACUCUGUCGCGUCCUCUGGGAUGUGGCUGGACCUAAAUGUAUUAGCUGGCCCUCAUGAAGGCUUGGUUCUACUCGGCGUGAUAAUUAUCUAACGUUGAGGACAUUCUCUGGAAUGGCCAGGCUUCUCUUUGGACUGCUUCUAAUCGUCUCUUUGGGACAAUUUACUAUCA
rnacentral:misc_RNA from 1 species